rnacentral:lncRNA from 1 species
UUCCGUCAAGAGAGGCGUUAAACCAUAUAAAUCCCAUUUUUUAGAUUGACGUGGCACAAAAAAUGAAUUUCCUUAAAAAAAUUACUUAUUAUAAUUAUAUAAAGAAAAAAAGAAAACCUAAUCUAGAACCCUACCAACAGCCAGCUGCUCCCACCAACCCACCCCUAGCCUCAAUUCUUCAUCCCCACCAUAAGUCACAAGCCCACCUUCAUCCCAGCCACCACAUCGUACCUCAUUUGCCUUUCAAUAGCCUCCUAAUUAUAUCAUCC